CGGAGAGUAUUAGGAGUACUCAGAUUAAAAGAGAAACAAGGUGAUAGAGGAAAAGAGGGAUCUGAGAAAUAUGGGUUCAACUACGGAGCUUUAAGCUUGAAUUUACUACAGUGGAAGUAGAAGCUCCAAUUUUGCAUUUCCAGUUCCCUGCUGGGAAUAAAUUAAAUUGGCAGAAGCUCAGUCUAAGUGCCUGCAACAGAAUUUGUCCCAUAUCCAUACAACUUGCUCCUCCACAACAAAUGGGAGAAUCAUCCUCUUACCUCCAGCACCUGCCUCAAACAAAGUUUC
ensembl:lncRNA MLIP-AS1 MLIP antisense RNA 1